rnacentral:rRNA from 1 species
UGGGGAAUAUUGCACAAUGGGCGCAAGCCUGAUGCAGCGACGCCGCGUGGGGGAUGACGGCCUUCGGGUUGUAAACUCCUUUCGCAACCGACGAAGCUUUUGUGACGGUAGGUUGAGAAGAAGCACCGGCUAACUACGUGCCAGCAGCCGCGGUAAUACGUAGGGUGCGAGCGUUGUCCGGAAUUACUGGGCGUAAAGAGCUCGUAGGUGGUUUGUCGCGUCGUUUGUGGAAUACCGCAGCUUAACUGCGGGGUUGCAGGCGAUACGGGCAUAACUUGAGUGCUGUAGGGGAGACUGGAAUUCCUGGUGUAGCGGUGGAAUGCGCAGAUAUCAGGAGGAACACCGAUGGCGAAGGCAGGUCUCUGGGCAGUAACUGACGCUGAGGAGCGAAAGCAUGGGGAGCGAACAGG